rnacentral:rRNA from 1 species
UACGUAGGGUGCGAGCGUUGUCCGGAAUUACUGGGCGUAAAGAGCUCGUAGGUGGUUUGUCGCGUUGUCCGUGAAAACUCACAACUCAAUUGUGGGCGUGCGGGCGAUACGGGCAGACUGGAGUACUGCAGGGGAGACUGGAAUUCCUGGUGUAGCGGUGGAAUGCGCAGAUAUCAGGAGGAACACCGGUGGCGAAGGCGGGUUGCUGGGCUGACACUGACGCUGAGGCGCGAAAGCCAGGGGAGCGAACGGG